rnacentral:rRNA from 1 species
UUUUCCUACGGGACGCAGCAGUGAGGAAUAUUGGUCAAUGGGCGGAAGCCUGAACCAGCCAAGUCGCGUGAGGGAUUAAGGCCCUGUGGGUCGUAAACCUCUUUUGUCAGGGAGCAAUGGCGUCCACGUGUGGGCGUAUGGAGAGUACCUGAAGAAAAAGCAUCGGCUAACUCCGUGCCAGCAGCCGCGGUAAUACGGAGGAUGCGAGCGUUAUCCGGAUUUAUUGGGUUUAAAGGGUGCGCAGGCGGCGAGUUAAGUCAGCGGUAAAAUUUCGGGGCUCAACCCCGACGAGCCGUUGAAACUGG